UUAACAUUCAUGAACAAUAAUCACAUAAUAAACGACGAAAUCCUUACAAGAAGGCGGAUCACUUCGGGCUGAUUCAAACCAUCGCUCAGUUUCUUCAGCCUUAAUUUUCUCAGCAACCAAAUAAGGGUUCACGAUAUGACAAUGAGGGUGAAACCAGAUCAAUAACCUUCACCCCUCUUCGAAGCCAAAUUCGAACACAUACAAUCUUAAGGGAGUUUGGUUGGUGAGAAAACAAACAGAGAUUGUGAAAAAAAAUUGGGAUCUAUAAAAAGCAUCGGGAAAAAAAAAUUGGAAAUCUCACGAAGCGUUGUGUGAGGGACGAUCUUAUCAAGUUUAGUUUUCUUCUUCAAUGCCAUUUUUACCCGUAGCCCCCUCUCUCUCUCUCUAACUCGAAUGCUUCCAUUGUCGAUUUCUCUCUCUGGCUUCUUCUCUUCUCUUCUAUACUCAAAAACUAGGAAGACCACAAAAUAACAGAAUGUAAAUUGAGGUACUAUUAAUGUUAAUUAAUACUCCAUCAUUGGGAAAAAUAGAAAUCUCACAAAGGAUUGCGCUAGGAACGAUCUUAAGAAGUUUGGACUUCUUCUUCAAGACCACGAUCUUACCCGUAGCCCACUCUCUCUCUAGCUUCUCGAAUGCUUCCAUGUUGAUUUCUCUAUGGGCUUCUCUGCUUCAAGUCUCUGUGUAUAAA
rnacentral:lncRNA from 1 species